rnacentral:lncRNA from 1 species
GCCUGCGGAGCGGAGGAAGACAAACAUAAAGAUGAAGUGCUUAAUUCAAGGUCACACAAUGUCGGGGAUGGACCUCCAGAUUUCCUUACUGACCUGCAUUAUCUUGUGGAUACCUGAGUGAAUUCCACACCACCCAUUUUAUAGAUGAAACCACUGAGACAUGGAGCAAUUGACUGAGUAGUCACUGCCCCACCCCUGCCUGGAGCCUCACACAUGACUCGCCUCCUCUCAGUGACCACAGGUUGGUUGAGGGGUUUAACAAGGCUAAGAAGGUGAGACGUGGUCUUGUAACACAGUGGUUAAGAAUGUGACUUUGGAGCCAGCCUGCUAGGGGCUGAAUUCUGACUCAGCCAUUUACUAACUGUGUGACCUUAGGUGGAGUCUCACUCUGUAGCCCAAGCUGGAGUGGCGUGAUCUCGACUCACUGCAACCUCCGCCUCCUGGGAUCAAGUGAUUCUCGUGCCUCAGCCUCCUGAGUAGCCGGGACUACAGGUCACAGAAUUUUCCACACUCCUUGACAGAGGUGCUUAACCCUUAUCCAUCAGCAUUCUCAGACAGCACCUCCGGUUAGGGACAGUAUCUGACCGUCCGACAUCCCUGCAGCCCCCAUGUGUCACACAGACUCAGCCUCAGGUAGAUGGUUUCCGUA